CCUACGGGUGGCAGCAGUAGGGAAUAUUGCUCAAUGGGGGAAACCCUGAAGCAGCAACGCCGCGUGGAGGAUGAAGGUUUUCGGAUUGUAAACUCCUUUUGUUAGAGAAGAAAAUGACGGUAUCUAACGAAUAAGCACCGGCUAACUCCGUGCCAGCAGCCGCGGUAAUACGGAGGGUGCAAGCGUUACUCGGAAUCACUGGGCGUAAAGGGCGCGUAGGCGGGAUUGCAAGUCAGAUGUGAAAUCCUAUGGCUUAACCAUAGAACUGCAUUUGAAACUGUUAUUCUAGAGUAUGGGAGAGGUAGGUGGAAUUCUUGGUGUAGGGGUGAAAUCCGUAGAGAUCAAGAGGAAUACUCAUUGCGAAGGCGACCUGCUAGAACAUAACUGACGCUGAUGCGCGAAAGCGUGGGGAGCAAACAGGAUUAGAUACCCGAGUAGUC
rnacentral:rRNA from 1 species